rnacentral:rRNA from 1 species
GCCUAAUACAUGCAAGUGGAACGCAUGAUUGAUACCGUAGCUUGCUACACCAUUAAUCAUGAGUCGCGAACGGGUGAGUAACGCGUAGGGUAACCUGCCUACUAGCGGGGGAUAACUAUUGGAAACGAUAGCUAAUACCGCAUAAGAGUUUUUUAACACAUGUUAGAAAUUUAAAAGGAGCAAAUGCUUCACUAGUAGAUGGACCUGCGUUGUAUUAGCUAGUGGUAAGGUAACGGCUUACCAAGGCGACGAUACGUAGCCGACCCUGAGAGGGUGAUCGGCCACACUAGGACUGAGACACGGCCCAGACUCCUACGGGAGGCAGCAGUAGGGAAUCUUCGGCAAUGGGGGGAACCCUGACCGAGCAACGCCGCGUGAAGUGAAGAAGGUUUUCGGAUCGUAAAGCUCUGUUGUAAGAGAAGAACGUUGAGUAGAGUGGAAAGUUACUCAAGUGACGGUAUCUUACCAGAAAGGGACGGCUAACUACGUGCCAGCCGCCGC